rnacentral:rRNA from 1 species
CCUUUGACGUUAGCGGCGGACGGGUGAGUAACACGUGGGUAACCUACCUAUAAGACUGGGAUAACUUCGGGAAACCGGAGCUAAUACCGGAUAAUAUUUCGAACCGCAUGGUUCGAUAGUGAAAGAUGGUUUUGCUAUCACCUAUAGAUGGACCCGCGCCGUAUUAGCUAGUUGGUAAGGUAACGGCUUACCAAGGCGACGAUACGUAGCCGACCUGAGAGGGUGAUCGGCCACACUGGAACUGAGACACGGUCCAGACUCCUACGGAGGCAGCAGCC